AGUGGCUUGGUGAUCUAAGUGGUUGGCUGCUAACCAAAAGGUCGGUAGUUCGAAUCCACCAGCCAUUC
rnacentral:tRNA from 1 species